rnacentral:rRNA from 1 species
UACGAAGGGGGCUAGCGUUGCUCGGAAUCACUGGGCGUAAAGCGCACGUAGGCGGCUUUUUAAGUCAGGGGUGAAAUCCUGGAGCUCAACUCCAGAACUGCCUUUGAUACUGGGAAGCUUGAGUCCGGAAGAGGUGAGUGGAACUCCGAGUGUAGAGGUGAAAUUCGUAGAUAUUCGCAAGAACACCAGUGGCGAAGGCGGCUCACUGGCCCGGUACUGACGCUGAGGUGCGAAAGCGUGGGGAGCAAACAGG